AUAGCACCUGUGAUAUUGACAUCAUAUUCUGACUUAUGCACGUAUGAAGCAUGCAUGAGCUCAUGUGAUGCUGACUUUUGAGCGAAGUUUUCUGACACAGAAUUAGCAAAGUCCCUUUGUGUUACAUUCCCGAUGAGUAUGUUUCUUUCAAGCCAUGCAUGUCAUCAAAGAAAUGCCAUGGGAUAAACAGGAAUUUCGGUUGUAAACUGGUAACAUGUAUUUUUCAUAUUUCAAUAGCUUGACAAGGUAGGCUUUCAAAAGUAUUGCGAGCUAAAUUCUUUUCAAAUAAAUUCUCCAAAUUCAUUCAAUGAACACCAAGCCUCCCAUGAAUUGGAACUCAUGACACGGAGGAAACUCUCUCAAAUGAUUAAAAUAUGAAGUAUGGAACUGUCUUCAAAGUGGAUAAACAGUGCAACAUCACUCCAAAUAUCAGACUCGUAUCCAAACACGUGUUUAUGCAUCACUGCAUACCAGAUUAUCUGCAAACGAUAUAUCAUACUGCUGUAAAAUAAAGUAGUACAUAAUACAUGUGUUUCAACCAAGGCAUAAUAUACAGCAUGUAUAUAAAUGUAAUAUAUAGUAGAAGUUAGAAAGCAUUGUGAUGUUGAAUUGCUGAUGGAUUAUCGCCUUGCAAAGUACAAUCAUUGUCAAAUAAAUUGAUUAUUGCUGAUAACUUAAAUGUCAUCAGGGUCCCGUGACACAAAGGUUAGCGAUUGAUCGAUCAUACGCUUGAUUUUCACAAUUGGUUGUACAUUGUCGUCAAUGGAAUCAAUCAUAGAAAAAGGUUCUACGAUCAUUGCCAAGCAUUGUGUUUCAGGCCCCAGAUCUAGUUUAUUUGAAUAGCCUUGUCAGCUGCAAUGUAUUCAUAUCAUGAAAGAAACUGGGAAUGGUUUCUUAUUUCAGUU